rnacentral:rRNA from 1 species
GUAGCGCGGUGGUCCCACCUGACCCAUGCCGAACUCAGAAGUGAAACGCCGUAGCGCCGAUGGUAGUGUGGGGUCUCCCCAUGCGAGAGUAGGGAACUGCCAGGC